rnacentral:lncRNA from 1 species
GUAAACAACAGAGAGAGGGCCUCUCUCAGGCUCCCUGAUGAUACUGAAGCCCACUGAAAAAGUGAAGAGAAUCUGCAAUAAAGGCACAUCAGACCACCAUACAUGGACCCUGACAUGAAACAGAACUCUGCAGGAAGUGUGCUCUAGUGUCCCCUAAUCUGUGUAGCAGAGGAGGACUCACAGAGUCACCUUUCAGAUUAGAAGAAACCAG